CGUGGUUUCAGAAAUCAGAUCCCAGUACACAUACACACUCAUAUCGAUGUACGUAACCAUAUACUAUGUAUUUGAAAAAAUAAUGAAUUUACACAAACACAUAUUAUUACAAUAAACGUUCACUUUUUUCACCCCAGGACCAAUUAGUGUGCCAAUUUUUACACAAUGGCAGUGCAGCAACAACAAAAUUCAUCAUUCCUCGACGAUCAUGUACCAGAUCCCCAGCCAUUGAAUUUUUGUAUGCCAAAUCCACAAACAUAUAAAAUUCAAGGCAAUAUCAGCAGCGAAACAAGCUCAGGUGCUAAUCGUUCGCUACAUGUAAAAAAAAACGACAGCACCUAAAGCCGAUAUCAAUGUUGCCCUGUUUACAUUAUGUACACAAAAUGGUCAACCUACGAAAGGUACUAAUCGACCUCAUCCUUAUCGCCAUCGACAUCGUUUCAUACCCCUCUGCGACGUUAUUGAUAAAAAAAGCAAGAUGGCGACCAUGACUCAAACUCUGGAACAGGAUUGCGUGACUACAACGAUUUAAUUAUAACGGUACGUUGGCGUGGUAUCGAGCGCAGUACGAUGGCGACAUGGCCGUUUUACCUACUUGGCUGACUUGGAGACGUGUGCACAAUGAGGCCCAAAUGCAAGGACGAUAGUCGACAGUGAUUGUAUAAUAGGAUUUUUUUCGCUUCUUCCCAUCCGUCUGGCGCCACACGCGACUGAAAAGGCUAAAUUCGCGUUCAGAACCAACCAUUGCCAUUCUCCUCCCCUAACCAAUUGUCUUUGUUACUCCAUACAUAGUAAAUAUGUACAUACAUAU
rnacentral:sRNA from 1 species